UUAGGGUUUAUACUUAGGUUUAGGGUUUAUACUUGGGUUUAGGGUUUAGUGAUUUAAAUUUAGGGUUUAGUAUUUGGAAGGUAGGGGUUGAGGUUUGGGUUUAGUGAUAGCCAUAUAGUAUUUAGGAGUUGGGAUAGUGUUUAGUAUUUAAAGAUUAUGGAUGUGGUUUUAGUAUUUCUAUAAUACUUAGUGAUUAGGGUGAUUAGUGACUAGAAUUUAGGGUUUAGUAUUUAGAAGGUGAGGAGGUAUGGCUGGGGUCAGCGUUAACUUCUUUCAUGCAAUCAUAGACAUUUUAUAGUUUCACCAAUAUAUACUAUGUUAUUUAUUUUGUUCCAUUCUAUUUGGGUUUUGUGUUUAUAUUUGAAUUUUGGUUUAUAGGUUCUUGCCUAGGGUUUAGAUUUACUAAGUAAAUGUUUGGGUAUAGUAAACCAUAUUAUAUACAUUCUAUUUGGGUUUAUACUUCCUUGAUUAGGGUUUAGCUUAAUCUAUUUAUUUAGGUUUAGCGUUUAGGGUAUAUUUGGAUUAGGGUUUAGUGACUGGAAUUUAGGGUUUAGUAUUUAGAAGGUGAGGGGUAUGGUUGGGUCAACACUAACUUCUUUCAUGCAAUCAUAGACAUUUUAUAGUUUCACCAAUAUGUACUAUGUUAUUUAUUUUGUUCCAUUCUAUUUGGGUUUUGUGUUUAUAUUUGGGUUUAGGGUUUAUAUUUGAGUUAGGGUUUAGUGAUUAGAGUUUAGGAUUUAGUAUUUGGAAAUUUAUGUUUUUUUGGGUUUAGGGUUUAUACACUUUUUAUUUUUUUUUAAAUUAUGUUUCUAUCCGCUCAUUCUACUUCAUAUAGUAAAUAAAUAUGUUAUAAGUAAAUUUGUGACAUGAGUUCUUUUACGUGAUGUGUUUGUAAAUAAUAGUGAUUCAUUAUUGACCAGCAAUAGAAAAUUUUGGGUGGAUUAAAUUGGUACGUGGCUGCAUGUGUUUCUAUCAAAUAAAGUAGUAUUUAAUUUAAUCUUUACCCUACGUUAUUUUGACCAAGUCAUAUCUAGCAAUACAAUAUUACCGGAUGAUUAAUGGAAGAAGGGGCAGAACCGGAUAACAAUUGGCAUAAAUGAUAGAUAUUACAUUACGUCAAAAUCAAUGCUACUCACUUAAUUUUGAUGCCAAAGUUGGUUAUUCAGCAAAUUGACCC
rnacentral:lncRNA from 1 species